rnacentral:sRNA from 1 species
AAAAUCUCAGCAGAUAUAUGCUCCACAUAGACGAAAUGCUUGUGUCUAUAAAAUUGGUAAUACGCAAAUCGCAAGCAAACUAAGAGUUAAUACCAACGUGAUUUCAUCACACAGGCACGCAACACUCCAACAUACAAUCCAUGCGUUGGCAGACAAGAGUCCUCAGUACAAUCGAAAUCCCUAAAUGGCAUUAACGAUUUGAAAAGUAUGUGAAAACACUUCGGAAGCGCCAUGCUAUAUGAUAUGGCUCAAAAACAAUACUAAGGCCGGCAUUCAAGCAACCACCCAUGCAACCAGCAUUUCCAUAAAAGAGAUUGAGAAGGAUCCUAUCGUUACAUACAUGCAUGCGAAUGUAUUCAUGUACACAGCACAAGCCAUGAACUUUAAAACCUUUUACUGGAGUUGAUGGUAUGAUGAGUUUCCACACGAUUCGAUACCGACCUGCUGGAGCUGUUAAAAAAGCAACAAGUUGGAUUGGGCAAAGCAGAGAAUCUUCCCUUUAUAAAUAAAUAUUGCAUGCUUUUUCUCUGGAAAUGGAAAUCUUUUUUCAUCUGAGGAACGAGGGCAAACUUCUU